CCACCCCACAACUUUUGAUUCUGCUUUGAAAUAGCAGCUGAUGUUACUAGGAGAUCAUUAGUCUUUUUUAACCUCAAGGGCAGGCAAUUGAGUUUAUCGCUCUUCCCAGUUCCCGGCAUCUGUCCUGGUUAUUCCUCAUUUGCUAUGCUGAACUCUUUCCCCAGCCCGCCACUGCAUUCCUCCUUCUCUGUCUGCCUUGGGAAGUCAACUGCUGCAGACUCCAUUACCCAGGCUCCUUUGCUGCUUGGUUUCUGGUCAUCUGGGGGACAUUUACAGUUUCAAAUAUCACCAGCUACUACUGAAAAGGAAGAAAAGUAAAACUCUCUUGCAUUUGAACUCUGUGGAGAGGCAGAUAUUUUAAACUCUGGAAGGGAGGGCCUCAUGGAAACCUUUACCUUCACUGUCACAAGGAUUUCUACUCUACUCCUUGUUUCUGGGUGGCCACUGAGUUGAUUUCAGUGGUGUCCAAUUAGGAAUAUAUUUUCUGUUCAAGUGGGCCACAAGGGAGAUUCUGGAGAGAUUUAGAAGACUAAAGAGGAGGAAGCCACCAUUUUGUAGCAGACGCAUGUUGUUGCUGAUCUGAUUAUUCACUUCAUUGAUGUGAAGCAUCAGCUGGGCUAGGUGUGUGUUUUGGCUCUUUGAUGAAGGGCCCUGCUUUCUCCAGAGGUAACAGGAAUAGAUAUGAAUUUAGUCGAUCCUUGUCAGUUUCCAGCUUGUGUUCAUGGCAUUCCAGACUGCUUAUGUUCUAUCUUUCCUGACUGCUUGCCCUGCGGACUUCAAGAUCCAGCGUCAGACAUGGAGACUGCCUUACAGAGACUGCUUAAUCAGUUCCCACAAUUGUGACUCCAGCUCAUAGUACCCAGCCACCAUUCAUAAAGAAGGCUCAACAAGCCCAUGCAGGGAGAUCAUGUGGAGCAGCCCAUUUGGAGAGGAGCUUGAAUCCUCAACUGAUACCUGGCAUUAACCACCAGACAUGGGACUGAAUGAGGCCUUGGAAGUUUCCAGCCCCCAGCUUUUGAGUCUUCCAGCUGAAGCCUUGGACAUUAUGGAGAAGAGUGGAACAGAGAUAAGAUGUCCCCAUAAAACCUUCCCCAAAUUGAAUAUUUGUGAACAGAAUAAAUAUUGUUGUU